rnacentral:miRNA from 1 species
CUCCAGAUGUUGCUGAACUACAACUCCCAUGAUUCAAUGAAUGAAAUAGGUUGGCAGAGAAUCAUGGGAGUUGUAGUUCAGCAACAUCUGGAG